rnacentral:rRNA from 1 species
AAUAUUGGACAAGGGGGGCAACCCUGAUCCAGCCAUGCCUCGUGAGUGAAGAUGGUCUUCGGAAUGUAAAGCACGUUAAGUUGGGAGGAAGGGCAUUAGUGUCAUACCCUGAAGUAUUGACUUUACCAACAGAAUAAGCACCGGCUAACUCUGUCCCAUCAGCCGCGGUAAUACAGAGGGUGCAAGCGUUAACAGGAAUUACUGGGCGUAAAGCGCGCGUAGGUGGUUCAGUAAGAUGGGUGUGAAAUCCCCGGGCUUAACCUGGGAACUGCUUUCAUAACUGCUGAGCUAGAGUACGGUAGAGGGUAGUGGAAUUUCCUGUGUAGCGGUGAAAUGCGUAGAUAUAGGGAGGAACACCAGUGGCGAAGGCGACUACCUGGACUGAUACUGACACUGAGGUGCGAAAGCGUGGGGAGCAAAC